AUUGAACGCUGGCGGCAGGUCUAACACAUGCAAGUCGAACGAGUGGCGGACGGGUGAGUAAUGUCUGGGAAACUGCCUGAUGGAGGGGGAUAACUACUGGAAAAGGUAGCUAAUACCGCAUACCAUCGGAUGUGCCCAGAGGGGAUUAGCUCGUAGGUGGGGUAAAGGGUCACCUAGGCGACGAUCCCUAGCUGGUCUGAGAGGAUGACCAGCCACAUUGGAACUGAGACACGGUCCAGACUCCGACGGGAGGCAGCAGUGGGGAAUAUUGCACAAUGGGCGCAAGCCUGCUGCAGCCAUGCCGCGUGUAUGAAGAAGGCCUUCGGGUUGUAAAGUACUUUCAGCGGGGAGGCGUUACCCGCAGAAGAAGCACCGGCUAACUCCGUGCCAGCAGCCGCGGUAAUUC
rnacentral:rRNA from 1 species